rnacentral:rRNA from 1 species
GACAGAGGGUGCAAACGUUGUUCGGAAUUACUGGGCGUAAAGCGCGUGUAGGCGGCUUUGCAAGUCGGGCGUGAAAUCCCAUGGCUCAACCAUGGAAGUGCACUCGAAACUGCAGAGCUAGAGUCCUGGAGAGGAAGGUGGAAUGCUUGGUGUAGAGGUGAAAUUCGUAGAUAUUGGCUGGAACACCGGUGGCGAAAGCGGCUCUCUGGCCCGGUUCUGACGCUGAGGCGCGAAAGCGUGG